UACGGGGGGGAGCAAGCGUUGUUCGGAUUUACUGGGCGUAAAGGGCGCGUAGGCGGCCACCGCAAGUCGACUGUGAAAUCUCCGGGCUUAACCCGGAAAGGUCAGCCGAAACUACUUGGCUCGAGUGUGGCAGAGGAAGGUGGAAUUCCACGUGUAGCGGUGAAAUGCGUAGAUAUCAGGAGGAACACCGGUGGUGUAAACGGCUUUCUGGACCAUAACUGACGCUGAGGCACGAAAGCGUGGGUAGCAAACAGG
rnacentral:rRNA from 1 species